rnacentral:rRNA from 1 species
GAUGAACGCUGGCGGCGUGCUUAACACAUGCAAGUCGAACGUGAGGGUGCAGCGAUGUGCCUGAAAGUGGCGAACGGGUGAGUAACACGUAGAUGACCUGCCCUGGAGUGGGGGAUAACCAUUGGAAACGUGGCUAAUACCGCAUACAUCCGGAGAACUGGGAAGUUUUCUGGGGAAAGCUCUGGUGCUUCAGGAGGGGUCUGCGUCCGAUUAGCUAGUUGGUGGGGUAAAGGCUCACCAAGGCGACGAUCGGUAGCUGGUCUGAGAGGACGAUCAGCCACACGGGAACUGAGACACGGUCCCGACUCCUACGGGGGCAGCAGUGAGGAAUAUUGGGCAAUGGGCGGAAGCCUGACCCAGCAACGCCGCGUGGAGGAAGAC